rnacentral:rRNA from 1 species
UUAUGGCUCAGGAGUGAACGCUGGCGGCGUGCCUAACACAUGCAAGUCGAGCGGGGAAGCCGGAACAUGUAGAGAUAUAUGAGAAAGCAUCCUAGCGGCGGACGGGUGAGUAACACGUGAGGAACCUGCCUUACACAGGGAAGUAACACCGUGAAAACGGUAGCUAAUACCGCAUAACACCGCACUAUGGCAUCAUAGAGCGGUCAAAGGAGAAAUCCGGUGUAAGAUGGCCUCGCGCCCGAUUAGUUAGUUGGUGGGGUAAUGGCCUACCAAGACUGCGAUCGGUAGCCGGACUGAGAGGUCGAACGGCCACAUUGGAACUGAGAGACGGUCCAGACUCCUACGGGAGGCAGCAGUGGGGAAUAUUGGGCAAAUGGGGGAAACCCUGACCCAGCAACGCCGCGUGAAGGAAGAAGGCCUUCGGGUUGUAAACUUCUUUGAUCAGGGAAGAAACAAAUGACGGUACCUGAAAAACAAGCCACGGCUAACUACGUGCCAGCCGCUGC